rnacentral:rRNA from 1 species
AUUGAACGCUGGCGGCAGGCUUAACACAUGCAAGUCGAACGGUAACAUAAAGAAGCUUGCUUCUUUGAUGACGAGUGGCGGACGGGUGAGUAAUGCUUGGGAAUCUAGCUUAUGGAGGGGGAUAACUACGGGAAACUGUAGCUAAUACCGCGUAGAAUCGAGAGAUGAAAGUGUGGGACCUUCGGGCCACAUGCCAUAGGAUGAGCCCAAGUGGGAUUAGGUAGUUGGUGAGGUAAAGGCUCACCAAGCCGACGAUCUCUAGCUGGUCUGAGAGGAUGACCAGCCACACUGGGACUGAGACACGGCCCAGACUCCUACGGGAGGCAGCAGUGGGGAAUAUUGCGCAAUGGGGGCAACCCUGACGCAGCCAUGCCGCGUGAAUGAAGAAGGCCUUCGGGUUGUAAAGUUCUUUCGGUAGCGAGGAAGGCAUUUAGUUUAAUAGACUAGGUGACUGACGUUAACUACAGAAGAAGCACCGGCUAACUCCGUGCCAGCAGCCGCGGUAAUACGGAGGGUGCGAGCGUUAAUCGGAAUAACUGGGCGUAAAGGGCACGCAGGCGGUGACUUAAGUGAGGUGUGAAAGCCCCGGGCUUAACCUGGGAAUUGCAUUUCAUACUGGGUCGCUAGAGUACUUUAGGGAGGGGUAGAAUUCCACGUGUAGCGGUGAAAUGCGUAGAGAUGUGGAGGAAUACCGAAGGCGAAGGCAGCCCCUUGGGAAUGUACUGACGCUCAUGUGCGAAAGCGUGGGGAGCAAACAGG